GAUGAACGCUGGCGGCGUGCCUAAUACAUGCAAGUCGAGCGAACAGACGAGGAGCUUGCUCCUCUGACGUUAGCGGCGGACGGGUGAGUAACACGUGGAUAACCUACCUAUAAGACUGGGAUAACUUCGGGAAACCGGAGCUAAUACCGGAUAAUAUAUUGAACCGCAUGGUUCAAUAGUGAAAGACGGUUUUGCUGUCACUUAUAGAUGGAUCCGCGCCGCAUUAGCUAGUUGGUAAGGUAACGGCUUACCAAGGCAACGAUGCGUAGCCGACCUGAGAGGGUGAGACGCCACACCAGAAAAGAACCAUGGUCCAAAACCCUGAGGGGGGCAAGAAGGAGAAAUGGCGCAAAAUGGGGGGAACGUUGGCGGAGGAACGGCGGGGAGAUGAGGAAGGUUUUGUGAAUGUAAAACUCUCUUUUGAGGAAAGAAAAAAUGUGUAAGUAACAAUACCCGUUUCGGCGGUACUUAAACAAAAAACCGGGGAUAACUAAUG
rnacentral:rRNA from 1 species